rfam:Reticulomyxa filosa solexa3721705_1.exp, whole genome shotgun sequence.
GUCCGAGUGGCCCAAUGGUAAAAGCAGCUCUUUGAGGAGAAUAUUGCAGGUUCAAAUCCUGCCUCGGACU